rnacentral:rRNA from 1 species
CUCCCUCGUUGCCGACCCAGGUUCGAUAGUGCCAAUGAGACACAACCUCGCCAAGAACCAACUUCGAUGAAGCGACGGGCGGUGUGUGCAAGGAG